rnacentral:rRNA from 1 species
GUGAGUCAUCGAGUCUUUGAACGCACAUUGCGCUUCCUGGUAUUCCGGGGAGCAUGCUCGUUUCAGAAUCAUUAAAAAACUCACAAACCUGUUGUGUUUCAUUGCACAGCUGGCGAGUGUAUUUGGGCGCUUUGUCUCUUGAACCAGACGAUCGCUUUAAAAUGAUUGUGUGCGUAACCUGAUUCUCAGCAAUCAGUUUAACCCUCAGUGCAACAGAUAAUGGAAACACUUUGGGUGGCUGAUAGGUGGUUUCGAUUACGUGUCUCCAACUCAACACAGUGUUGGUUGCAAGUUUUGCGAUCAGCUCUGAAAACUUGGUCUGAAAUCGAGCAAGAAAACCCGCUGAACUUAA